rnacentral:tRNA from 1 species
UGGGCGAUCGUCUAACGGCAGGACUGCAGACUCUGGAUCUGCCUAUCGGGGUUCGAAUCCCUGUCGCCCAGCCA